rnacentral:rRNA from 1 species
UGUUUAAGAGCCGCGGUAUUUUGACCGUGCAAAGGUAGCAUAAUCAUUAGCUUUUUGAUUGAAAGCUUGUAUGAAUGGUCGGACAAAGGAAAAGCUGUCUUUAUUGUAAAAUUAGAAAUUAACCUCUAAGUGAAAAGGCUUAGAUUUUUUAGGGGGACGAUAAGACCCUAUAAAGCUUUACAUAUAAGUAGAGUUUACUUAAUUAAAAAGUAAAAGUUUAAUCUAAUUAAUGUGUUUUGUUGGGGCGACAUAAAUAUAAUUUAUAUUAACUGUUUAUAAAUUAAUACAAUAAUAAAUGAUUUUAAUGUAGUUGAUCCUUAUUAAAGAUUAAAAGACUAAGUUACUUUAGGGAUAACAGCGUUAUUUCUUUUGAGAGCUCCUAUCGAAAAAGAAGUUUGCGACCUCGAUGUUGAAUUAAAAUAUCUAAAUAAUGCAGCAGUUAUUUAAGAAGGUCUGUUCGACCUUUAAAUUUUUA